rnacentral:rRNA from 1 species
GGCGAAAGCCGGAUUAAUACCGCAUACGAUCCACGGAUGAAAGCGGGGGACCUUCGGGCCUCGCGCUAUAGGGUUGGCCGAUGGCUGAUUAGCUAGUUGGUGGGGUAAAGGCCUACCAAGGCGACGAUCAGUAGCUGGUCUGAGAGGACGACCAGCCACACUGGGACUGAGACACGGCCCAGACUCCUACGGGAGGCAGCAGUGGGGAAUUUUGGACAAUGGGCGAAAGCCUGAUCCAGCAAUGCCGCGUGUGUGAAGAAGGCCUUCGGGUUGUAAAGCACUUUUGUCCGGAAAGAAAUCCUUGGCUCUAAUACAGUCGGGGGAUGACGGUACCGGAAGAAUAAGCACCGGCUAACUACGUGCCAGCAGCCGCGGUAAUACGUAGGGUGCAAGCGUUAAUCGGAAUUACUGGGCGUAAAGCGUGCGCAGGCGGUUUGCUAAGACCGAUGUGAAAUCCCCGGGCUCAACCUGGGAACUGCAUUGGUGACUGGCAGGCUAGAGUAUGGCAGAGGGGGGUAGAAUUCCACGUGUAGCAGUGAAAUGCGUAGAGAUGUGGAGGAAUACCGAUGGCGAAGGCAGCCCCCUGGGGCCAAUACUGACGCUCAUGCACGAAAGCGUGGGGGAGCAAACAG